rnacentral:lncRNA from 1 species
AUUUAUUUUAAUCCUGCUCCAAAUAACCUGAGUAUUAUAUUUCACCUGCUCCAAAUAACCUGAUUAUUAUAUUAUAAUCCUGCUCCAAAAUAACCUGUAUUAUAUUUCAACCCUGCUCCAAAAUAACCGGAUUAUUAUAUUUGAUCCUGCUCCAAAAUAACCUGAUUAUUAUAUUGAAUCCUGCUCCAAAAAACCUGAUUAUUGUAUUUGAAUCCUGCUCCAAAAUAACCUGAUUAUUGUAUUUGAAUCCUGCUCCAAAAUAACCUGAUUAUUGUAUUUUAAUCCUGCUCCAAAUAACCGGAUUAUUAUAUUUGAAUCCUGCUCCAAAAUAACCUGAUUAUUAUAUUUGAAUACUGCUCCAAAAUAACAUGAUAAUUACAUUUAAAUCCUGCUCAAAAAAUACCUGAUUCUUAUA